GUGAAUUUUUGGUGGUGCCCCACGCUUUGGGCAGGGAUGUGACCUUGAGUGUUUGAGCGUGGUGAGAAAUUUUUGAAAAGUCACGGAAGGGGUGCGUCCGGCUAUCGCUGAAUUUCCUCGGGAAGUAAUACCUGAAGCUGGGAAAGGCGGAAAAACUUCAGAAAAUCCUGUAAAUUUUUGUACACGCAUCAACACCGUACGUCCGGAAUACGUGAGUUUUGGUGGUGCCCCACAGUUUGGGCAGGGAUGUGACCUUGAGCGUUUGAGCGUGGUGAGAAAUUUUUGAAAAGUCACGGAAGGGGUGCGUCCGGCUAUCGCUGAAUUUCCUCGGGAAGUAAUACCUGAAGCUGGGAAAGGCGGAAAAACUUCAGAAAAUCCUGUAAAUUUUUGUACACGCAUCAACACCGUACGUCCGGAAUACGUGAGUUUUGGUGGUGCCCCAUGGUUUGGGCAGGGAUGUGACCUUGAGCGUUUGAGCGUGGUGAGAAAUUUUUGAAAAGUCACGGAAGGGGUGCGUCCGGCUAUCGCUGAAUUUCCUCGGGAAGUAAUACCUGAAGCUGGGAAAGGCGGAAAAACUUCAGAAAAUCCUGUAAAUUUUUGUACACGCAUCAACACCGUACGUCCGGAAUACGUGAGUUUUGGUGGUGCCCCAUGGUUUGGGCAGGGAUGUGACCUUGAGCGUUUGAGCGUGGUGAGAAAUUUUUGAAAAGUCACGGAAGGGGUGCGUCCGGCUAUCGCUGAAUUUCCUCGGGAAGUAAUACCUGAAGCUGGGAAAGGCGGAAAAACUUCAGAAAAUCCUGUAAAUUUUUGUACACGCAUCAACACCGUACGUCCGGAAUACGUGAGUUUUGGUGGUGCCCCAUGGUUUGGGCAGGGAUGUGACCUUGAGCGUUUGAGCGUGGUGAGAAAUUUUUGAAAAGUCACGGAAGGGGUGCGUCCGGCUAUCGCUGAAUUUCCUCGGGAAGUAAUACCUGAAGCUGGGAAAGGCGGAAAAACUUCAGAAAAUCCUGUAAAUUUUUGUACACGCAUCAACACCGUACGUCCGGAAUACGUGAGUUUUGGUGGUGCCCCAUGGUUUGGGCAGGGAUGUGACCUUGAGCGUUUGAGCGUGGUGAGAAAUUUUUGAAAAGUCACGGAAGGGGUGCGUCCGGCUAUCGCUGAAUUUCCUCGGGAAGUAAUACCUGAAGCUGGGAAAGGCGGAAAAACUUCAGAAAAUCCUGUAAAUUUUUGUACACGCAUCAACACCGUACGUCCGGAAUACGUGAGUUUUGGUGGUGCCCCAUGGUUUGGGCAGGGAUGUGACCUUGAGCGUUUGAGCGUGGUGAGAAAUUUUUGAAAAGUCACGGAAGGGGUGCGUCCGGCUAUCGCUGAAUUUCCUCGGGAAGUAAUACCUGUAAGUAAUUAUUGAAUCUUUGGAGCUCUCUGUCAAGCACAACAUUCAUGAAAUUAUUGAAUUCUGCCAGGAAGCUGGGAAAGGCGGAAAAACUUCAGAAAAUCCUGUAAAUUUUUGUACACGCAUCAACACCGUACGUCCGGAAUACGUGAGUUUUGGUGGUGCCCCAUGGUUUGGGCAG